UACGGAGGGAGCAAGCGUUACUCGGAAUUAUUGGGCGUAAAGGGCGCGUAGGCGAUCUGACAAGUCUGGUGUGAAAGCCCACAUGUUAACUGUGGAAGUGCAUUAGAAACUGUUGGAUUUGAGUUCAGGAGAGGAAGGCAGAAUUCCCGGUGUAGCGGUGAAAUGCGUAGAGAUCGGGAGGAAUACCAGUGGCGAAGGCGGCCUUCUUGACUGACACUGACGCUGAGGCGCGAAAGCCAGGGGAGCAAACGGG
rnacentral:rRNA from 1 species